CUUCCAAAGUGUGGGGAUUACAGGCGUGAGCCCCCACGCCUGGCCCUGGAAAUAACCUUCUUUUGACCAGAAGGCACUUGGUAAGAGGCUUCCUUGGUGAGUCCUGGCUUGGGGCUGCUUCUUCCUGCUGGUCUUGUGCCCUACUUGCUUGGAAGCCCCCCUCCCCGGCCUCUCCCUUCCUAGAACUCCGAGCCACAGACAAGUGCCCAGAACAUUACCCUGAGAUUUUCAAAGAAGACAGAGAAGAAUAGGAAAAUGAAAAAACGCAAAUGUAAGUCUGUGGGGAUGGAAUUAAUUAAAAGGAAAAAAUAAUACGAAGGCCAAGGAGGGGAGAGAGGGUGAGAAACAACAAAAACUCAUUUACAGCCAACAGAGAUCAUCUGAGGGAAAACAAAGAAUGGAACCCAAAUGAAAGAUUCCUGUGCAAGUCUAGGGAGAAGACUUGGGGAUGUGCAGGGAGAGAAAAGGACGCAGUGAUUAAUAAAACAGAGGGGAAAAUGAAAAUGCAACACAAAGCCCUCGGGUUCUACAUACAAGCCAAGGUACAUAUGCCAAUAAAAGCAGGGAAAUGGGGAACAAAGGAUGUCAUAGCAACCUCAAGGAGCCCUGUUGUGCUACCGACUGCAGAGCUCAUGGACAUCCAUCAGGAAGCCUCCAAUACCCAAACCAGGGGUAGUUGCCUAAUCCAUAUCCAUGUGGAUAGCUCUUUACUUAGGAAACCUUGAUGGCUUAUUUGGAUGACAAAGGUUCCCUUUUGGCGAUACAUAGCCAUGCGAGACAACAUAGCCAUGAAACAAACCAAGUCCACCAGUGGCUUCCUAGGAACACAUUUGCUUUCCUGAUAAAAGAGGACAGAUGCAGUUGCAGAAGUACCUGUGCCUCUUUUUCUUUUUCUUCUUCUUUUUCUUUUUUAAUCUCUUAAAUGCAGAUAUAAGAACUGGUACUGAAGCAGCCAUCUUGUGACCAUAAGGAAGAAGCCAAGAACAUCAGAACCAGUGGCCUAGCCAUUGCACAGUCAUCUAAACACACCUCUGGACUUGUUAUUAUGUAAAAAAAAAUAAACACCUGCUCUUGUUAUUUGCAAUUCAACAUAAUCGUAACUUACAUAAUAUUUAUCAAAUUGAUACAAAUAAGAAAUAAAUUACUUGGGAAUAAAAUUUCCAGUAGUUUGUCAAGCAUCUCCAAUCUUCUGAUUUCUUUAUUUCCCAUUGCAUUUUUCCCCAAUAAAUAUUCAUCUUCAAUACUCAAGAGUCUUCGUUAUGUCAGAGGGAAGUUGCUCUGAAGCUAAAAUCACAAUAGAAAAAUAUAUCCAGAGGUAUAGGCCUGUAUCCCCCAGCAGUUUCUUUCUUUGGUUAUGUCAUCUAUUGUCAGGGCAUAUCAACAAAACACAACGAAUGGUCGGAUGUGGCUGUCCUUGGUCAUGAUCUCUUUCAUUCUUGAAUACCUACUCAUCACUUACAGUUCUGCCUCAGUUUACUGUGCAGAAGCCACCUGUCAUGUAACAUCCAAAUCUGGUCAUUUAGGACUUAACUUCCCUCCAUCUCUUCAUACUGAGAUGUAGUGAUGGGAGAUUUCCAUUUCUUCUUUCAAAUGUUGUUUAUACACACAUUUCAGGCAUAAACUUUGUGGGAAACAAAAAUGAAUGAGGAAUCAAGUUGCUCUCAACAGCGUCUUGUAGACAUAAACUUUCAUGA
rnacentral:lncRNA from 1 species